GUGUUACCAGUAUCCAAGUCUAAGCUCCUUCGACUUUAGGCUCUCGGUUCCUCUGCUUUCAGAUAAGGGAUAAGUUAUAUGGGUAUUUGUUAGCAGGUUUUAUUUCGGAGCAGAGGGAGCCUUAGUCAAGUUUUGGAAGGAGCUGGUUUAGUUUCAUAUGUAUAGAUCCUAAAUUAGAAAUAUGAUGUUUAGAUUUGUAGCAUUGUUUAUUUCAGGAUCUAAUAGAAGUGUAUACCUUAAAGUAUUAAUAAAUGUAUUAUGUGAAAUUCCGAAUUUUGAACAAUUGGUGAAUUAUGUUAUUCUUUGGAGUACAAUGUAGAUGCUCUAAAUGUCAAGUGAAAGGUUAUAUCA